rnacentral:rRNA from 1 species
UACGUAGGGGGCAAGCGUUGUCCGGAAUUAUUGGGCGUAAAGAGCGUGUAGGCGGUCCGAUAAGUCGGCUGUGAAAGUCCAGGGCUCAACCCUGGGAUGCCGGUCGAUACUGUCGGACUAGAGUUCGGAAGAGGCGAGUGGAAUUCCCGGUGUAGCGGUGAAAUGCGCAGAUAUCGGGAGGAACACCAAUGGCGAAGGCAGCUCGCUGGGACGUUACUGACGCUGAGACGCGAAAGCGUGGGGAGCAAACAGG